CCCCCUCCUCAGGCCAGACCAGCCCCGGCCGCUGUCCCCCCUCCUAGUCGCCCCCCGGCAGCAAGAGGCCCCACCGCCGCCCCUCCUCCCUCCAGUCCCCAAAACCCAGCUUUCGGGGCGCCCCUCAUCCCCUCUCGACCCGGACCCCCACCAGUCAACACCUACAGUGCAGCGGACCCUGUCGUCAAUGUCCCCCUGAUCCCAUCUCGCCCAGCCAGGGUACCCCCAGCCCUGCCCCCCGGCAUACCCAGAAGACCCCCAGCGGCCCCAGGCCGGCCCACCAUCAUACGCCCUUCAGAGCCUUCACUGCUGGACUAGACAGACAGACAGACAGACAGACAGAAUGAAUAAUUACCACUCCUAAUGUCCUUUGACUACAAAGACACACUUUGCGUAACGUUGAUGUUUUAUUCACUAACAUGAUUCCAGACUGUCUUUCAUGUAUUCUCUCUUAAUAUUCAUAUUGUCAUGUUAUUGUUAUUUCAUGUAUUCUCUCUUAAUAUUCAUAUUGUCAUGUUAUUGUUAUUUCCAUUUAAGCAACACUAUGUACUUUUGAUCACAUAGUUUUUUUGUUAUAGCUUUGUUACAAUGUUUAAUACCUUCAAUUUUUCAAAGGGAUUGAGAGAGAGAGAGAGAAAUGAAACAUACAUGUUUUUGUUUAACUCUAACUUACUUUAAUGAACUCCGUUCAAACCGGUGGAUUAGACAGAAUUUCAAAUCAAACAGGUUUAAAAUAUGGAACAGAUUUUUGUGAAUACCCAGAAUACUUCUUCUUCACAUGGAAGCAUUAUUCCAUUGUUUUAAAUAAGAAAUACACUCCAUAAUUAAUAACUAAAUACUCAUAGUUCUUUAUACUGUUUGAAAUGUUUCUAACCUUCUUACUGGAUCAUAUGUACAUUUGUAUUUUUAGAUCUGAUCUUCAAUAUGCACUUCUUUAUCUAUGCAGGAAUAUUAUAGUAAGUCCUUUCCAGCUCGCGGCUUUUUGAAAUUCAUUUGGAUGAAAUGCUAAUUAUGCUAUAAAAUGAAUUGAUUUCAA